rnacentral:tRNA from 1 species
GUCCCCUUAGCUCAGUUGGUUAGAGCACCAGACUCUUAAUCUGGGUGCCCUGGGUUCGAGUCCCAGAGGGGAUACCA